UUCUCUGCCGUGUUCAUCUUCUUCUCUGGACGUGGUUGGAAACACUGGCAAGUGGCAAACCAGAUCGAACCUCCAUGUCGUCGCCUCCAGAUCUCUCUCCCCGGACUAUUUCUGUGCUAUAAACCACUCAAAGGCCCCGCAGUCACCAUCGCACUAAAACCCAGGGCCACCAUGCCGGAGCACCGCAUCACGCUGACCCCAUAGCCACCGCAAAACUUGAGCUUCUCCACCGCGCCGAACCACCUCUCUGCUUGGCUGCGAACGUUGUCGCUGAACCACCAGCGCUUCUCCAUCGCGAGCUUCCAAGUUCCAUGGUGCAUCUACAGGCGAGGAUCGAGUCUCCUCUCGCUGAGACCAACAACAAAACCACCAGAUUCAGAUAUGGAUUUUGAGUGUUGAUCUGCUCGGUCCCUUUCCAUUUCCCUCUCUUGAGUUUGCAAAAACCCAGAUCUUCGGUGGUGGUCUUCUUCGCCGGUGGGUUGCUGGUGUUCUACUGAAGGGACAAGGGAGAGGUAGUCAGAGGAAAGAGAGGGAAGAGGUAGAAAGAGAAGAUAAUUGGGGAUAAAAUGUAAAACUUAAAGAUGUUUAAGGACUUAAAUUUAUAAUAUAAAAUUGACUGGUCAAACAGAUGACAUGGCAUCUUAGCAUCUUACUAUUGGUCACUUUAGGGCGGGCAUGACUGCUGUUUAAAACACAACCAGCAUUUUUUAGUUUGC
rnacentral:lncRNA from 1 species